GGGCGAUUAGCUCAGCCGGUUAGAGCGCCACCUUUACACGGUGGAUGUCGGGGGUUCGAAUCCCUCAUCGCCCA
rnacentral:tRNA from 2 species